GCCCAGACUCCUACGGGAGGCAGCAGUGGGGAAUAUUGGACAAUGGGGGAAACCCUGAUCCAGCGACGCCGCGUGAGUGAAGAAGUAUUUCGGUACGUAAAGCUCUCUCAGCAGGAAAGAAAAUGACGGUACCUGACUAAGAAGCCCCGGCUAACUACGUGCCAGCAGCCGCGGUAAUACGUAGGGGGCAAGCGUUAUCCGGAUUUACUGGGUGUAAAGGGUGCGUAGGUGGCAUGGCAAGUCGGAAGUGAAAGCCCGGGGCUCAACCCCGCGGACUGCUUUUGAAACUGUCAGGCUGGAGUACAGGAGAGGUAAGCGGAAUUCCUAGUGUAGCGGUGAAAUGCGUAGAUAUUAGGAGGAACACCAGUGGCGAAGGCGGCUUACUGGACUGUAACUGACACUGAGGCACGAAAGCGUGGGGAGCAAACAGGAUUAGAUACCCGCGUAC
rnacentral:rRNA from 1 species